ensembl:snRNA U6 U6 spliceosomal RNA
GCGCUUACUUCUGCAGCACAUAUACUAAAAUUGGAGCAAUACAGACGAUUAGCAUGGUCUCUGUGCAAGGACGAUGUGGAGAUUUGUGAAGUGUUUGAUAUUUAA